AUUCUCUUUGGGAGGGAAUAUGCU
rnacentral:siRNA from 1 species